rnacentral:lncRNA from 1 species
AGUUUAUUGGGUAGCUCAUCCAGACCCCUCAACUAAACUAGUUUUCUAUUGGCUAAUUUCAGCAAACGCCUUCGGGAACCCAGCGCUAGAUGUUCAACUGGAAGGGCCGAGAAUAGCGAGCAGCUAGGCUGAUAUAGCCAUGGCGCCGCCUCCUGCCUCGGGGAGGAACUGAAUUCUGUCCAAGCAUACUUUAUUUUUAAGCUUGGUUGCUUUCUUAGUUCUUAAAACAAUGAUUGAGCGCCCACUAACUUCUGGGCAGUAUUUUGGUUGCUAAGGAGAGACCACCAAUCUAUCCCUGCCCUCAAGGAACUAAAGAGAAACUGAGAUAUGUUCAGCACCCAGAAGGAGAGGACUUUAAGGCAAGGAAUGACGAAGAGAGGGUCGUGUGAUAGACAAGCAGAAGGAAGGCAGGAGGAGGGCACCGAGGAGAGAAAGGACUAAGGACACAGUUUAAGGACAUCCAUGUUUGGAAACGCCACAAUGUGUCCCAUCACACUGUAAGGACUUAAGAUGCCUUCUUUGAUCAUACACCAUUUAGGACAUGGAAGAUUUUCAGGUUGUCUUAUUUAACAUGGAACUUACCACGGCAGCUGGAUUGGAUGGCUAGCAUACUCUAGGGAUCCUACUGGGUCUGCUCCCUCAGCACUGAAGUAACAGAAUCCUUUGUCCAGCUCUGUAGUGUGCUAAGAGUGUGGAACCUUCCCUCCAAUGCAGAAGUGGGGAGCUAUUUUUUGACAGUUGUGCCAGUCUGCUCAAUUGAUGUCAGUGGAGCAUGGGUUGUCCUGAUGUCCUUCGUAUUCUGAUGUUAAUUCUGCUCCCUCAAAAGAGCUUGCCCCCAGUUCCCCGAAAGGAGCAGUCUAUCACAUCCAUCACUGUUCAUCCAUCAUCAUGGCUCGGCUCUCACAUACUCAGGUGAUCUCAUGGGAGUCUUCUCCCCAUUUAAACCAGUCAAUAAAGGCGGUGGAGGGAAAGGUGGAACUGGAGGUUUUACAGAUGGAAGGAGAGGGAAGAGGAGGAGAGGGGAAGAAGAAAGGACUGAAGAAGAGAAGAAGGAAGCCGUGAUGGACCAGAACCACAUGCUCAGGUAUAGCUGGGGAAUAAGUUAGUAUAGUUUUAGAUCUGUCCAAUCUGGGCAUAUAGCUUACAAUUAUAAUAACCGGGUUGUUUGUGUUUUUUAUAUGGGUUUAAUGGGGUUGGCAAUUCUAGCAACACUGCCUGACCGCUG